rnacentral:rRNA from 1 species
GGGUUGUGAGGUUAAGCGACUAAGCGUACACGGUGGAUGCCCUGGCAGUCAGAGGCGAUGAAGGACGUGCUAAUCUGCGAUAAGCGCCGGUAAGGUGAUAUGAACCGUUAUAACCGGCGAUUUCCGAAUGGGGAAACCCAGUGUGACUCGUCACACUAUCAUUAACUGAAUCCAUAGGUUAAUGAGGCGAACCGGGGGAACUGAAACAUCUAAGUACCCCGAGGAAAAGAAAUCAACCGAGAUUCCCCCAGUAGCGGCGAGCGAACGGGGAGGAGCCCAGAGCCUGAAUCAGCAUGUGUGUUAGUGGAAGCGUCUGGAAAGGCGCGCGAUACAGGGUGACAGCCCCGUACACAAAAGCGCAUGUGCUGUGAGCUCGAUGAGUAGGGCGGGACACGUGGUAUCCUGUCUGAAUAUGGGGGGACCAUCCUCCAAGGCUAAAUACUCCUGACUGACCGAUAGUGAACCAGUACCGGGAGGGAAAGGCGGAAAGAACCCCGUCGAGGGGAGCUAAAAAGAACCUGAAUGCGUGUACGUACAAGCAGUGGGAGCACAGGUUUACCUGUGUGACUGCGUACCUUUUGUAUAAGGGGUCAGCGACUUAUUUUCUGUAGCAAGGUUAACCGUAUAGGGGAGCCGGAGGGAAACCGAGUCUUAAUUGGGCGUUAAGUUGCAGGGUAUAGACCCGAAACCCGGUGAUCUAGCCAUGGGCAGGUUGAAGGUUGGGUAACACUAACUGGAGGACCGAACCGACUAAUGUUGAAAAAUUAGCGGAUGACCUGUGGCUGGGGGUGAAAGGCCAAUCAAACCGGGAGAUAGCUGGUUCUCCCCGAAAGCUAUUUAGGUAGCGCCUCGUGAAUUCAUCUCCGGGGGUAGAGCACUGUUUCGGCUAGGGGGCCAUCCCGGCUUACCAACCCGAUGCAAACUGCGAAUACCGGAGAAUGUUAUCACGGGAGACACACGGCGGGUGCUAACGUCCGUCGUGAAGAGGGAAACAACCCAGACCGCCAGCUAAGGUCCCAAAGUCAUGGUUAAGUGGGAAACGAUGUGGGAAGGCCCAGACAGCCAGGAUGUUGGCUUAGAAGCAGCCAUCAUUUAAAGAAAGCGUAAUAGCUCACUGGUCGAGUCGGCCUGCGCGGAAGAUGUAACGGGGCUAAACCAUGCACCGAAGCUGCGGCAGCGACGCUUAUGCGUUGUUGGGUAGGGGAGCGUUCUGUAAGCCUGUGAAGGUGGCCUGUGAGGGUGGCUGGAGGUAUCAGAAGUGCGAAUGCUGACAUAAGUAACGAUAAAGCGGGUGAAAAGCCCGCUCGCCGGAAGACCAAGGGUUCCUGUCCAACGUUAAUCGGGGCAGGGUGAGUCGACCCCUAAGGCGAGGCCGAAAGGCGUAGUCGAUGGGAAACGGGUUAAUAUUCCCGUACUUGGUGUUACUGCGAAGGGGGGACGGAGAAGGCUAUGUUGGCCGGGCGACGGUUGUCCCGGUUUAAGCGUGUAGGUGUGUGUUCCAGGUAAAUCCGGUUCACUUUAACACUGAGGCGUGACGACGAGGCACUACGGUGCUGAAGCAACAAAUGCCCUGCUUCCAGGAAAAGCCUCUAAGCAUCAGGUAACAUCAAAUCGUACCCCAAACCGACACAGGUGGUCAGGUAGAGAAUACCAAGGCGCUUGAGAGAACUCGGGUGAAGGAACUAGGCAAAAUGGUGCCGUAACUUCGGGAGAAGGCACGCUGAUAUGUAGGUGAAGUGAUUUACUCAUGGAGCUGAAAUCAGUCGAAGAUACCAGCUGGCUGCAACUGUUUAUUAAAAACACAGCACUGUGCAAACACGAAAGUGGACGUAUACGGUGUGACGCCUGCCCGGUGCCGGAAGGUUAAUUGAUGGGGUCAGCGCAAGCGAAGCUCCUGAUCGAAGCCCCGGUAAACGGCGGCCGUAACUAUAACGGUCCUAAGGUAGCGAAAUUCCUUGUCGGGUAAGUUCCGACCUGCACGAAUGGCGUAAUGAUGGCCAGGCUGUCUCCACCCGAGACUCAGUGAAAUUGAACUCGCUGUGAAGAUGCAGUGUACCCGCGGCAAGACGGAAAGACCCCGUGAACCUUUACUAUAGCUUGACACUGAACAUUGAGCCUUGAUGUGUAGGAUAGGUGGGAGGCUUUGAAGCGUGGACGCCAGUCUGCGUGGAGCCGACCUUGAAAUACCACCCUUUAAUGUUUGAUGUUCUAACGUGGACCCGUUACCCGGGUUGCGGACAGUGUCUGGUGGGUAGUUUGACUGGGGCGGUCUCCUCCUAAAGAGUAACGGAGGAGCACGAAGGUUGGCUAAUCCUGGUCGGACAUCAGGAGGUUAGUGCAAUGGCAUAAGCCAGCUUGACUGCGAGCGUGACGGCGCGAGCAGGUGCGAAAGCAGGUCAUAGUGAUCCGGUGGUUCUGAAUGGAAGGGCCAUCGCUCAACGGAUAAAAGGUACUCCGGGGAUAACAGGCUGAUACCGCCCAAGAGUUCAUAUCGACGGCGGUGUUUGGCACCUCGAUGUCGGCUCAUCACAUCCUGGGGCUGAAGUAGGUCCCAAGGGUAUGGCUGUUCGCCAUUUAAAGUGGUACGCGAGCUGGGUUUAGAACGUCGUGAGACAGUUCGGUCCCUAUCUGCCGUGGGCGCUGGAGAACUGAGGGGGGCUGCUCCUAGUACGAGAGGACCGGAGUGGACGCAUCACUGGUGUUCGGGUUGUCAUGCCAAUGGCACUGCCCGGUAGCUAAAUGCGGAAGAGAUAAGUGCUGAAAGCAUCUAAGCACGAAACUUGCCCCGAGAUGAGUUCUCCCUGAGACUUAGAGUCUCCUGAAGGAACGUUGAAGACGACGACGUUGAUAGGCCGGGUGUGUAAGCGCAGCGAUGCGUUGAGCUAACCGGUACUAAUGAACCGUGAGGCUUAACCUUACAACGCCGAAG